rnacentral:rRNA from 1 species
GUAAAUCCGGUUCACUUUAACACUGAGGCGUGACGACGAGGCACUACGGUGCUGAAGCAACAAAUGCCCUGCUUCCAGGAAAAGCCUCUAAGCAUCAGGUAACAUCAAAUCGUACCCCAAACCGACACAGGUGGUCAGGUAGAGAAUACCAAGGCGCUUGAGAGAACUCGGGUGAAGGAACUAGGCAAAAUGGUGCCGUAACUUCGGGAGAAGGCACGCUGACACGUAGGUGAAGUGAUUUACUCAUGGAGCUGAAGUCAGUCGAAGAUACCAGCUGGCUGCAACUGUUUAUUAAAAACACAGCACUGUGCAAACACGAAAGUGGACGUAUACGGUGUGACGCCUGCCCGGUGCCGGAAGGUUAAUUGAUGGGGUCAGCGCAAGCGAAGCUCCUGAUCGAAGCCCCGGUAAACGGCGGCCGUAACUAUAACGGUCCUAAGGUAGCGAAAUUCCUUGUCGGGUAAGUUCCGACCUGCACGAAUGGCGUAAUGAUGGCCAGGCUGUCUCCACCCGAGACUCAGUGAAAUUGAACUCGCUGUGAAGAUGCAGUGUACCCGCGGCAAGACGGAAAGACCCCGUGAACCUUUACUAUAGCUUGACACUGAACAUUGAGCCUUGAUGUGUAGGAUAGGUGGGAGGCUUUGAAGUGUGGACGCCAGUCUGCAUGGAGCCGACCUUGAAAUACCACCCUUUAAUGUUUGAUGUUCUAACGUGGACCCGUUACCCGGGUUGCGGACAGUGUCUGGUGGGUAGUUUGACUGGGGCGGUCUCCUCCUAAAGAGUAACGGAGGAGCACGAAGGUUGGCUAAUCCUGGUCGGACAUCAGGAGGUUAGUGCAAUGGCAUAAGCCAGCUUGACUGCGAGCGUGACGGCGCGAGCAGGUGCGAAAGCAGGUCAUAGUGAUCCGGUGGUUCUGAAUGGAAGGGCCAUCGCUCAACGGAUAAAAGGUACUCCGGGGAUAACAGGCUGAUACCGCCCAAGAGUUCAUAUCGACGGCGGUGUUUGGCACCUCGAUGUCGGCUCAUCACAUCCUGGGGCUGAAGUAGGUCCCAAGGGUAUGGCUGUUCGCCAUUUAAAGUGGUACGCGAGCUGGGUUUAGAACGUCGUGAGACAGUUCGGUCCCUAUCUGCCGUGGGCGCUGGAGAACUGAGGGGGGCUGCUCCUAGUACGAGAGGACCGGAGUGGACGCAUCACUGGUGUUCGGGUUGUCAUGCCAAUGGCACUGCCCGGUAGCUAAAUGCGGAAGAGAUAAGUGCUGAAAGCAUCUAAGCACGAAACUUGCCCCGAGAUGAGUUCUCCCUGAGACUUAAAGUCUCCUGAAGGAACGUUGAAGACGACGACGUUGAUAGGCCGGGUGUGUA